AGUGAACGCUGGCGGCAGGCCUAACACAUGCAAGUCGAACGGCAGCACGGCAGUAGCAAUACUGUGGGUGGCGAGUGGCGGACGGGUGAGGAAUACAUCGGGAUCUACCCUGUUGUGGGGGAUAACGUAGGGAAACUUACGCUAAUACCGCAUAAGAACUGAGGUUGAAAGCGGCGGACCGCAAGGCGUCGCGCGAUUGGAUGAACCGAUGUCCGAUUAGCUAGUUGGCGGGGUAAAGGCCCACCAAGGCGACGAUCGGUAGCUGGUCUGAGAGGACGACCAGCCACACUGGAACUGAGACACGGUCCAGACUCCUACGGGAGGCAGCAGUGGGGAAUAUUGGACAAUGGGCGCAAGCCUGAUCCAGCCAUGCUGCGUGGGUGAAGAAGGCC
rnacentral:rRNA from 1 species